GUUGUAGCUAAGCAGCAGAGCCUUUGCCUUGCACGCAGCUGGUCCCAGGUUCAAUCCCUGACGUCUCCA